rnacentral:rRNA from 1 species
ACUCCCAAACCCCUGUGAACAUACCUGAACGUUGCUUCGGCGGGAUCGCCCCGGCGCCCUCAGCGGCCCGGAUCCAGGCGCCCGCCGGAGGACCCAAACUCUUGCUUUGCAUUAGUGGCAUUCUCUGAGUCAAAACAAAAAAAUAAAUUAAAACUUUCAACAACGGAUCUCUUGGCUCUGGCAUCGAUGAAGAACGCAGCGAAAUGCGAUAAGUAAUGUGAAUUGCAGAAUUCAGUGAAUCAUCGAAUCUUUGAACGCACAUUGCGCCCGCCAGUAUUCUGGCGGGCAUGCCUGUCCGAGCGUCAUUUCAACCCUCAAGCCCCUACGGGUGCUUGGUGUUGGGGACCGGCCCUCCCACGAGGGCCGCCCCCGAAAUGCAGUGGCGACCUCGCCGCAGCCUCCCCUGCGUAGUAGCACAACCUCGCACCGGAGCGCGGAGACGGUCACGCCGUAAAACGCCCAACUUUUUUCAAGAGUUGACCUCGGAUCAGGUAGGAAUACCCGC